GGUGGAUUGGCUCAGCGGUUAGAGCAUAGGUCUCGUAACCGAAAGACUGCGGGAUCAAAUCCCGCCAAAGGCUG
rnacentral:tRNA from 1 species